rnacentral:rRNA from 1 species
CUACGGAGGAUCCGAGCGUUAUCCGGAUUUAUUGGGUUUAAAGGGUGCGCAGGCGGGAGAUUAAGUCGGCGGUGAAAUUUUGCAGCUCAACUGUAAAAGUGCCUUCGAAACUGGUUUCCUUGAGUGUAGAUGAAGUAGGCGGAAUUUGUGGUGUAGCGGUGAAAUGCAUAGAUAUCACGAGGAACUCCGAUUGCGCAGGCAGCUUACUAAACUACUACUGACGCUCAGGCACGAAGGCGUGGGGAUCAAACAGGAUUAGAUACCCUGGUAGUCCACGCAGUAAACGAUGAUUACUAGCUGUUUGCGAUACAAUGUAAGCGGCUGAGCGAAAGCGUUAAGUAAUCCACCUGGGGAGUACGUUCGCAAGAAUGAAACUCAAAGGAAUUGGCGGGG